AUUGUGGUGAACAUCCAGCAAACAGAAGAAUUAAGAACUAUGUGGAAGCUGACAUUGUCUUGUUGUUAGCCAUAUUGCUACCCUUAGCUAUGUUAUGGUGUCUAAGAUUAUGGAACAAAGUUUAUGGUGUCUAAGAUUCUUUAUACUCCUUGAAAGACUUAUUCUAUUUUUCUGGACUAUGCUGGACUAUUGAACUAUUUUGUUAUUUUUGUAGAGUUAGCCAGAGAGAGAGG